rnacentral:rRNA from 1 species
CCCUUAGAUGUCCGGGGCUGCACGCGCGCUACACUGAAGGAAUCAGCGUGCUAAAACCAUUGUCGAAAGGCAUUGGUAAACCCAUUAAAAUCCUACGUGAUUGGGAUCGGGAAUUGCAAUUAUUUCCCUUGAACGAGGAAUUCCCAGUAAGUGUGGGUCAUAAGCUCGCGUUGAUUACGUCCCUGCCCUUUGUACACACCGCCCGUCGCUGCCCGGGACUGAGCCGUUUCGAGAAAAGCGGGGACUGCUGCUGUCGGGGCUUUCGGGCCUUGGCUUCGGUGGAAACCGCUUUAAUCGCAGUGGCUUGAACCGGGCAAAAGUCGUAACC